rnacentral:rRNA from 1 species
AUUGAACGCUGGCGGCAUGCUUUACACAUGCAAGUCGAACGGCAGCGCGGGCUUCGGCCUGGCGGCGAGUGGCGAAUGGGUGAGUAAUGCAUCGGAACGUGCCCAGUAGUGGGGGAUAGCCCGGCGAAAGCCGGAUUAAUACCGCAUACGACCUGAGGGUGAAAGCGGGGACCGAAAGGCCUCGCGCUAUUGGAGCGGCCGAUGUCGGAUUAGCUAGUUGGUGGGGUAAAGGCUUACCAAGGCGACGAUCCGUAGCUGGUCUGAGAGGACGACCAGCCACACUGGGACUGAGACACGGCCCAGACUCCUACGGGAGGCAGCAGUGGGGAAUUUUGGACAAUGGGGGCAACCCUGAUCCAGCCAUGCCGCGUGCGGGAAGAAGGCCUUCGGGUUGUAAACCGCUUUUGUUCGGGAAGAAAUCCUCUGGGCUAAUACCCCGGGGGGAUGACGGUACCGGAAGAAUAAGCACCGGCUAACUACGUG